UAUCUAUCAAGAGCGACCGAGAGAUCUGGCUCGUCGACGUCGCAGCAACCUCGCCAGUAUCCCCCACCGUCACGGUGCAGGGUGCGGACAAGGUGCUCCCGCCAGAACCGAUAGAGA
rnacentral:ncRNA from 2 species